rnacentral:lncRNA from 1 species
AUUAACCACUGAAAUGAUGGCACCAUUCCUGGAGUUAGGCCUUCAACCAAAGAGCUGGGCCAUCCGUGGCAAUGCCUCCCAGGCUUGGGAGCUGGGAAAAGGCCCCAGGAGCUAGGGCAUCCUGAUUGUUCUUUCAAAGAAAUCCCUCUUGUUCUUAGUCAACAUGCUGGAUACCAGCUAAAAAAUGCAAAAUGAUCUUCAGGCAGGGAUGGCACAGGACCCUUGCUGAGCUGUGAAGCCUGGCUGUGAGGAUUCCUGCAUGGAAACAUCAACAUGUUGCCAGAUUGGUAUACGACUCAACACCACACUGACAUGCUGCUCCCAAACAGUGCCUUUGAAUCAAGACCCAGUCAUCGUAUUCGAAGAAAAAGGAAAUAUCCCUGACCAUGUUGGGACUUAACACUGCUUCACAGAGCUACCCAAACCAAGGAGAAUACCAACGUGAAUUGUCUUUCCACCUGUUGUGUGGGGCCAGCAAUUAUUCUUUUAGCUUGACGCGUUAACCCACCUGCUCCCUGUGGCCCUGGGAUGCUCUGCCAUCCCCCGUGGCUGCCAGUUCACUUAGGGUAGACUUAUGGCAGAGGGAUGUCAAUUUUGCUUGAACUGCUCAAUCACUGCUGACAUUUCGUUAACCACCCUAUGAACUUCUCAAGCCUGAAGUAGCAGCAACUUGUGCCCUUGAAAACUGAACAGAAAACAACUGUAUUGAUUUUCUACUAUCAACAAGAAAAAGACAAUUUCUCUUUGCUGAGAAUGUUCAUAAUGCAUUUUACACCACUUAUUCUCGGCAGUCCACCUCUUCCUGAUAUAUUGUUGGGCCUCUUUAAACCCCUGCUGCUUUAGACUCUGCUAGAAUUAACCCUGAAAUGCCAGCACCAUCUCAAGCCCUUCCAGUUCCCGGAUAGAAAUGUUCAUCAGUGCUGAAUUGACAGCCUACUUAGGCAAGGGAGCUGUGAUCAUUUAGAAAUUACAAAGGAACUCAGGCCUGGGUGAAGGGUUUGGGGUUGGGACACUAGGAAUCUCUUUUAGUAAAAUUCUCUUUUAAAAGAACAUAUCUCUUUGGUUUGUUAAAAGCACUAAUGAUGUCUAUAUGAUAUUUUGGAGAUAUAUCAGCAUAUACACUGACCAAACUGAUUGAAUAGGAAGUAAUUUUCAGUAAUUUUUACCACUCAUGCAACCAUUCUUGCUAACUCAAGACCCAAGAUUUAACUUGUGUAUGAUUAUUCCAAAUUACCAGGCCUUUCUUUUCUUUUUCAACCUGCAUUAAAAAAAAAAAAAAAAAAAAAAAAAAACUAUCAGGCAUGCCCUAAUAGUUCCAUUUUUUUUGAAAUUUCCAACAUACCAAAAAGAGACUCCAAGGAACUGAAAGAGAUUCAAGAAGCUUGAAAAAGCAAGCCUGACCCUCUGGGACAACUGUAGUGUCAAAAGCAGUCAAUAUUUAUGCCUAGCAACCUUGACAAUAUCCUUUUAAUUAAAAUCAAUGGAGAAAUAAAACAUGCAUUAGAAUGCACGUGGGAUCACUCACCUCACGAGACAGAGAAGGAAGACUCUGAUAUUAUGCACGAUGUGAUUAUGACAAGACGCUGGAUCUUCUGUAUGAGACAUGGGUUCUGGUAUUUGCAAUUAGAUCUCUUCUUUUGACGGUUGUUUUCA